UGGUGUUUCAUCCAAUUCCAUAUUUUUCGAUACAGAGAAGAUUAGCAUGGCCCCUGCGCGAGGAUGACACGCAAAUUCGUGAAGCGUUCCAUAUUUUU
rnacentral:snRNA from 1 species